rnacentral:rRNA from 1 species
GGGUGAGUACGCGUGGGACAUACCCUUUGGUACGGAAUAGCCUCGGGAAACUGAGAGUAAUACCGUAUGUGCCCUUCGGGGGAAAGAUUUAUCGCCAAAGGAUUGGCCCGCGUUGGAUUAGGUAGUUGGUGGGGUAAUGGCCUACCAAGCCGACGAUCCAUAGCUGGUUUGAGAGGAUGAUCAGCCACACUGGGACUGAGACACGGCCCAGACUCCUACGGGAGGCAGCAGUGGGGAAUCUUAGACAAUGGGGGAAACCCUGAUCUAGCCAUGCCGCGUGAUCGAUGAAGGCCUUAGGGUUGUAAAGAUCUUUCAGUGGGGAAGAUAAUGACGGUACCCACAGAAGAAGCCCCGGCUAACUCCGUGCCAGCAGCCGCGGUAAUACGGAGGGGGCUAGCGUUGUUCGGAAUUACUGGGCGUAAAGCGCACGUAGGCGGAUUGGAAAGUUGGGGGUGAAAUCCCGGGGCUCAACCCCGGAACUGCCUUCAAAACUCCCAGUCUUGAGUUCGAGAGAGGUGAGUGGAAUUCCGAGUGUAGAGGUGAAAUUCGUAGAUAUUCGGAGGAACACCAGUGGCGAAGGCGGCUCACUGGCUCGAUACUGACGCUGAGGUGCGAAAGUGUGGGGAGCAAACAGGAUUAGAUACCCUGGUAGUCCACACCGUAAACGAUGAGAGCUAGUUGUUGGCAGGCAUGCCUGUCGGUGACGCAGUUAACACAUUAAGCUCUCCGCCUGGGGAGUACGGCCGCAAGGUUAAAACUCAAAGAAAUUGACGGGGGCCCGCACAAGCGGUGGAGCAUGUGGUUUAAUUCGAAAAC